AUCAGUUGUGUGUUCCACGAGUCGAUAUGUGAUAUGGGAGCUCUUCUCUCAUUGCCCGAAAAACGAACAGUGAACCCAGACCCUUACCAGAACGCCAGCUGUUACACGACACCAUCUGGGCCAUGGUGUGAGCUGGACCCUGCUUUUAAGGAUUCGUUAUCUUUGUCAACCAAAAUCAAAUCUCUAUGACACCGUCAUCAGACGACCAUAUUCGUUGCCCAUAUUGCUGGAUUCGCGGUUCACUGAGGGAUGAAGCCACAAGGGCCCUAUGUGUUUCCAUAAGCCAUACCCACAAGGUGAUAUGAAUGCGCCUUGGGAGCUGGCUUAAAAAGCCUUACCUAGGUGUUCUUAGGGUCAUACAAAAGCCCCUGGAGCGCCCAUUUGGAAGGCUUGGCCUGCAGGCAACUUUUGGGAUUGCACACCCACCCAUGUAGUGUUACCUUACCCUUUGAUGGGCAGGCUACCAAAUACUCAGUGGAGAUGGUGUGAAGGUAAAUCUGUAGCUGCAACUCUAUCUUCUUUGGUCUCUGCGGUCCGUCAUAAACAUACCAAGAGGGGACUGAUAGUGUCAAAAUAGGAUCCACUUGAUAGUCUUGACAAUUCCUUCAGUUCCUUUG